UGUAUUUUGCACACGCUGCGCCUUGGUCCACUCUCUCUCACGAAGAUGAUCGUGACACCUGAAGUGGAAAUGCGGUACCCUAGGAAGGAGACGGACUGUUGGAAGAACAGACAUUUCUCAGCCUUGACGUACAGGUUCACCUUCUGAAGCCGGAUGAGGUUCCCAAAGCCUGCUGCGCACCCACCAAGCUCAGUCCCAUCUCUGUACUCUUCCACGAUGACAACAACAACGUAAAACUAAAGAAGCAUCGCAACAUGGUGGUCAAGACCUAUGGAUGCCUGUGACACCAGUGGUAGCCCAUCGAUCUAUUCUACAACAUUUUAAUCAACUUCAUUGCUAUUGUUCCAAAAGAUACAAACAGGGUAAUAUAACUUGCAACCAGCAGUUGAUAGCAAUAAUCUGUCAAUAGGCUGAUAAAUAGUAUGUAUCUAAUAUAUUGAUUUUGAGUCUGAGUGGUAUAUGAACAACACCCAUUGGACUUAUAACCAUACUUCACUUUUGAUUAACUAAACUAUUCAAAUCUACAGUAAUUAAGAUAAUUACAUCCCCCCUUCAUGUCAUAUAUUCUGUGACCAAUCAAAGCUGUAAAGUACUGUAUCAUAAAUGCAAUCAAUGCUAAAAUUCGACCCUUUUGAUGGCUAUAAUAUCUUGUUGAACCAGGAAUUUCUCCAUGUCUCUUUUAGAUGUACUAAACAUGGUUUGCAAAACG